rnacentral:lncRNA from 1 species
AGGGGGGGGGGAGCGGCUUCUCCUGCCCGCCCCUUCCUUCGGUGCCUGGAGCCGCGCUCGCCACUGCCCGGGCUGCCUCAGGGACCUCCCGCCUGAAGGGAGCGCUUAGCCCGCCAGCUCCAUAGAGAGGAAGCUCCGUGCUUCCAGGCGGUUUUCCAGGUCUUCGGGAUGGUUUAUUGGCGUUUUCCGCCGUCGGGACGCGGGACGGAAGAGCUGCCGCCAUAUCUCCUUCCCGCCCAGCCCGGCUGAGGGGAGCGGGGGCACCUGUGGGCACCGGACCGCGAAAAUGAGCGUUUGAAGGGCUACGGUGCAUGGAAUUGGAAUAUGGAUCACAUGACAGGUCGUGGCUGGUUUUUCUCCCCAAAGGAGGCACUUCACCAGUAUUAAGUGCUAAUUUUUAUUUCUGUAGUACCACCCAGUGGCCCUGCAGUAACUUUAACAACAGAAUCAAAGUGAACUGCCAGAAACACCUUAAAAGACGGUUUUCCUGACAAAUCAGCUCUUUGAUCUGAGAGCAGCAGCACCAGAGUCAGCAGAAGGAAGGGAGGAAGGGGCCUUCUGGAGCCUGGUGUCACAUGCCAAGCUCAAGGAGCACAACAGAAGAGCAUUGGGUGACCUUGAGUCACUCCUACUUUUGUUCAGAAUGGAAUAUUGAAAGCAAAAUUCCUUUUACUGCACACAAUUUCUUUUUUUUCUAACUAGAGAUUUUAACCUGAGAUUAAAUUGCAGGAGGCAAGAACUGUAACUGCCUGAUGAGUGAUCAUCAGCCUCCUGCCCUCCUGUGCUUUGCUUUCUCCUGACCUUUCUUCUCUCCCUGUGCCAUUCCAGCAAGGUUGUUUUAUCCCCAGGAGGCCUCUUCCCUUCCCUUGCUCCUCAAGGAUCUGGAAAUAUUUGCUCUGGUAAAGUGCCAGCACUGCUCUAGAGGAAUAACUUGGAGAAAUGAAAGACAUGGGCCAAACUAAAAUUCUUUAAUCCAAAUUUAGGGCUGGAUUAAGAGUUUGAGAACGUACACUUUCCAAAAUUCACAUCCCAACACUGAACUAAAAAUCCUGUUUUUCUUUAACGUAAAGAUGGAGUCCAGUUAUAUCUGUGCCCUCGAGGCUGGAAUGCUGCUGGAAAUCAUUGGAAGCCACAUGUGAGUUAACCCACUUUUAAAGUUUCGCCACUUGACUGCCACUGCUCUCUUAGCAUUUUCAGCUUUUUAACAAGCUUCUCAUUUAACUAGACCCCGAGAAGCCAAAUUCAAUUAGUUUGAUUUAGCCCAAAUAGUAGAGAAUAUACUCAGAAUUCAGCUGCAUUAGGCUGAAAAUGCAUCACGGAAGUACAGAAAAGGCAUUUCUGAGCACGAGAGUGCCACCAGCAUCUGAACCACCUUACCAGAGAGUCCAGGCAGCUUCUGGUGGACAUUGGGACCAUGAAAGUCUAUAAACUUCAAGACUCAGGAAAAGCUGAGGCAAUAUUUAAAAAGACUUAAGAUUUAAAAUGUGUUCACAACAACAAAAAAAAACCCAGACCACUUGGUACAUGUUGAUGGGGCACCUGGAAGAGAUAUUCCAGUGCAUCUUUUAGGAAAAAGUACUGUUUGGCUUUUAACUUACAAAUAAAA